UGAGGAAUAUUGGGUCAAUGGGCGAGAGCCUGAACCAGCCAAAUCGCGUGAAGGAAGACUGCCUUAUGGGUUGUAAACUUCUUUUAUACAGGAAUAAAAAAGGGGACGUGUCCCUUAUUGCAUGUACUGUAUGAAUAAGCAUCGGCUAACUCCGUGCCAGCAGCCGCGGUAAUACGGAGGAUUGCGAGCGUUAUCCGGAUUUAUUGGGUUUAAAGGGUGCGCAGGCGGGCUUUUAAGUCAGCGGUGAAAUCUCGGGGCUUAACUCCGAAACUGCCGUUGAAACUGGGAGUCUUGAGUAUGGAUGAAGUAGGCGGAAUUCGUUGUGUAGCGGUGACAUGCUUAGAUAUAACGAGGAACUCCGAUUGCGUAGGCAGCUUACUAAGCCAAUAACUGACGCUCAAGCACGAAAGCGUGGGGAUCAAACAGGAUUAGAUACCCCUGGUAGUCCACGCCGUAAAACGAUGAUUACUAGUUGUAUGCGAUAUACCGUAUGUGACUAAGCGAAAGCGAUAAGUAAUCCACCUGGGGAGUACGCCGGCAACGGUGAAACUUAAAUGAAUUGACGGGGUCAUAGCUGUUUCCUG
rnacentral:rRNA from 1 species